AUAAGAAUUAGUACAAAACAUGUUAAACAUUUCAACUAAAAACAGAUCAUAAGCCAACUUUACAGCUUUGCAAGUUUCUAUUUCCUUUAAUUCUUUUUUUUUUUUGCAUAUAACGUCUUUUUUGUUGCUGCAUAAAAAAGCUUUCUUUUGUUAAGUAAUGAACUUAACAGCAAAAAAAGGAUUAGAUAAGAAGUCAACGUUGGCAGAAAAAAGCUACUACAAAAUAAUGUAACUAUACUCCCAAAUACAAAAAUUAUAAAUAAAAACUAAUUUAUCGUUAUUUUAAAUAUGUAUUACAUUAAUUAAUAAAGAGAUAGUAUUUUUUUUUCUAAAACAGUAGGAAAUUAUAUAAACUUUAACAUUUUAGCUAAUACAAUGUUACAAAAAUAGGCUAAUCUAAUUAAAGUGUAGAGACGAAUUUGUAUGGUAUUUGCAUUAUUUGACUACUGUCGGUCUAAGUGACGCCGCACUUCCAUGGUCAGCAAGUGACACACCAUUUUGCUCCUUAAUUUCAUGCUCUAGAACCCUUUUUGCUGCUGCUACAGAAAACAAAACCUUUUUAGCAUAGCGAAAUGAACUACUAUUAUAUAACGGUAUAAUUUAUAAAACAUACAGCUUUAAAUAUUCAAAUACAAUUUUCUUAUUACUGAAACUGUUAUAUCAUUACACUAUUACCAACUUGUUUUUGUCAUUUGUUCUUUGUCGUGCCGUUUUCUACGGAUUCAAAUCAGAACCAACCCUAAGAUUUAAAGAACUACAGCAAUUUUAAAAUAAAUUUUAAUAAAAAAU
rnacentral:lncRNA from 1 species